UGUGGCAUUUUUCAUAAUUACCCCCAGAGAGAAGGUUUUCAAGAGCAGACUCUCCCCUUGGCCACAAAUGGAGUAUGGGCCGGCGAGAAAGCUGCUUCAACACAGAAUUCAAAUAUCACGCCACAAUCCUACUCCCCCUCGCAUUUUCAGAAUAAUUUACAUGCAUUGCCAACAAAGAAGCAAGAAUGAGGGAGAAAUGUUUUUGAAGCUGCCUACAGAUUUAACAUACAGAUGCCAGAUUGUCCCCAGUUGCCUUUGGAAUGCUCCAAUGGGCACCAGCCACCUCUGAACACCUACACUGCCGCCAUUCAAGAUGCUUGCAUGGUAGAAAUGAAGCUAGAUGCCGCAAGGAUCAAUUGG